rnacentral:rRNA from 1 species
AUGACCUCGAUCUCGUCCGCUGCGUCGGGGAUCUUGGGCAUGUUGUUUUCCCCACGGACAGCGACCUCAAAGUCUGCGACAUCAGCGGUUGGGGGGGCGAACCCCUCCUCGCCAUUCUCCAUCGAUAGCCCUCCACUCUUCUCUGUGCGGUGCAGACCAACAGCCGUCCGGCGGGGAGAAGGCAUGGUGUCACUGACAGGAGCGCACCACGUAGCACCAUUGCAUUCCGCCACCGGCCGCCGCGAGGGCGCCUCUGCUGGUCGCUCUUGCGACCACUUCCAGGAGGCCAUACACAUGCACUCCUUUUGUCCAGAUGGUGUCCAUGGGAUCCAGGUGGCUGUACACGUGCACGUUCGACGUGCGGAUGGUGUCCACUUUAUGUUCAGGGGUCCAAAAUAA